rnacentral:rRNA from 1 species
GGUGGAAGGGUGGCGGACGGGUGAGUAACACGUGGGAAUCUGCCUUUUGGUUCGGGAUAACCGCGGGAAACUGCGGCUAAUACCGAAUGCCCUCGAGAGAGGAAAGAUUUAUCGCCAGAAGAGGAGCCCGCGUCCGAUUAGGUAGUUGGUGGGGUAAAGGCCUACCAAGCCGACGAUCGGUAGCUGGUCUGAGAGGAUUGAUCAGCCACACUGGGGACUGAGAUACGGCCCAGACUCCUACGGGAGGCAGCAGGUGGGGAAUAUUGGACAAUGGGGGCAACCCUGAUCCAGCAAUGCCGCGUGAGUGAUGAAGGCCUUAGGGUUGUAAAGCUCUUUUGCCAGGGAAGAUGAUGACUGUACCUGGAGAAUAAGCCCCGGCUAACUUCGUG